CAGCCGUCCAACAUCUUGGGGUGAAGGGUCACAUCCAAGAUCUGAUUUUCUCCCUCCCUUGCUGCCUUCAGAAGGUGUGAUGCAAAGAAGAUUAUCCUAUUUCCCUAUGGAGUUUGACGUACGCGUGAAGUAGAGAGUCUGUACAUUCAAACAUCGUGAGGCUUUGAAUUCAAAAAAUCCUCAAUAUUUGAUCCCUACUCCACUGUGAUUCAGAUAAUUUAUAA
rnacentral:lncRNA from 1 species